rnacentral:rRNA from 1 species
UACGUAGGGGGCGAGCGUUGUCCGGAUUUAUUGGGCGUAAAGAGCGUGUAGGCGGCCAGGUAGGUCUGCUGUGAAAACUCGAGGCUCAACCUCGAGACGUCGGCGGAAACCAUCUGGCUAGAGUCCGGAAGAGGAGAGUGGAAUUCCUGGUGUAGCGGUGAAAUGCGCAGAUAUCAGGAGGAACACCGGUGGUGUAGACGGCUCACUGGACCGUAACUGACGCUGAGACACGAAAGCGUGGGUAGCAAACAGG